UUGAAGUAAAAACUAGAGGGGUUGUUUAGCCCAAAUGAAAAAAAUAAGAAGGGAGUUAGCUGUGUUAGUUUCAUUAGUUAGUUAAUUAGCAAGAUUCCAAGUUAUUUAGUUCCUGGUUAGCAUGUUAGUCAGUUAACAGUCAGCUAGCAGGUGAGAUAAACUUGCAGAGGAUAAGGCGUAGCAGGUAAGCUAUGGUUUGAUAGGAGGCUGCGUAGGGGCUAAGUGAACUAGACUAGGAAUAAUGGCUGGGAGCUUCACGGUGGCUGUGUAGGAGCCACUACAGAGCAGUCUAACUGCUAGAGGUACUGGAGUGUAAACUAGGGGUCAGGUAGACUGACUGAGAGAUAAGAAGGUUCAGCCGUAUAUGCCAUAUAAGACACUUCAAGCUCAGUUAGUCAUACCCCUUCACAAGCUCCAAAGUAUAAUAGCUAUAAGGAUAGAGGAUAGAGCAGUAAGAAUUCGGCUGAGAAGGAGAAAGGACUAAGCAGCACAUCUCUAUAAUCUCUAAGCUAGCAAGGUAAUUCCAUUUCUAACUCCUUCCCUUCUUUUUCUAUUCCAUUACUAUCAAGCACAAACAGAACUGCCCUGGGCCAAAUGGCUUUGUUAGUAUACCUUGUAUUAAUUGUGAUUUUUAUAAUGAGUAUUAUGUGCAAGAUGGUGGUGUUUGAUAUAUUUGUCAUUAUGCUUGAUUUAUAGGACGAUCAUGGUUGUUUUAAAGCCAUAAGGCUGGGAUCACUAAGCUAAUAAUAUAAGUAAUGUAUGAAGAUAUGUAGACUGCCCACCAUCUGUUUGAUAAAGUGAUUCAAUAGAGGACUGAACUUCAAACUGUUAGUGAAUGAUUACUAAAUAGUAAAAACAACAACAUUGAUUUACUAUACAAUGUUAGUUUUGUUAAUGUUCUGGUUAUGUGAUUGAUAAUGCUUAAUAUGGCUGAGUGUAGCAUUAUAAUGAUUCUUGAUUAAGCCAUUUAAACCAAACAAGCCUUAUACAUUUAGGCUGAGUUAUUAAACGAUUGAAUAUGAACUGGAAUUUCAUUUACUAGCAGGAACCAUUGGGAAUUAAAUAAGAAACCGAAACAAAGGUAAUUUCUAUCUUAUUUUAAGUCACGUAAUUAGCCUAGUACUUGAUCUAAGAAGACAAGUGCUUGAUUACUAUUGACUGUUGUUUUCAAACUGUUAGUAUAGCUAUAUUAGAAUACUAACUGAAAAAUGGAGCAGUAAAUAUUUAAGAUUUCAUGAAAUUAGAGCUUUAUAGUUAUGUUCAUAAAGAUAUCUGUUAUGUGAUAAAUGUGUUCCUUGGCUGAGAAUUAUAAACUAGACUAAAACUGCUAUAAUGGCAAAACAGUAUGGCUGGGAAGGGAGUCCAAAAUGGUGGUUAAAUUCUAACAUAAAAUGUAGCUAUGCUUCAAGUAAACUCUCUGCCUAUGUAUACCAUGUAUUGGUGUAACACUUGAGCAAAACAAAGUAAAAAGGGACUGAAAUGGUAAGCUCUUUGCUAACUGUUAUUACAGGCUUGACUAGUAAUGACUAUAACUUGUUUCUAAUAUGGUUAGUAUACUAUAACAUGUAUCUAUAACUCCAAACAACUAAUGCUAACCCUUGUUAAGUUUAAAUAUGUUAGUUUUCAAUAAACAAAAAUCAGUCCUUGUGACUGUUAUUGGAAGUUUUCUUAUGAUGAUCAUGCCUUGAUUCUAAUAUAUUUAUUACAUGCAGUCCUUGUUUCCAUGUUGCCUAAUCAUGUUACCUUUGUACUUAGAUGUUUUUCAAAUCAUAUUACCUUGUAUUAAUUUAAGGCUUAUGAGGGGCUGUUUUGAACCAAAACUAGAAGCCUUUUCUGUAGGCUCUUUAAAUCAUGAACAUAUAUUAUAUAGCAUGUACAUGAUGUGAUAACCCUUGUGUUGAAAACUUAAAGACUGUUUUGAUGACCUAGUGCUGAACUUUACCUAAAAGGCCUGGAAUAAGCAUGAAUGACUGUUAUUAGGACUUUAGUUGCUAUACUAACUGUUAUUGUAUUAAAUGGAUUGGUAUGAUGUUGCAAUACUAUUAUGGACUGAAUUUAGGCACAAGGAGAUAGGAUGGGCUGAGAAGUAAUAAGGAGAACAAAAUGGGUUUAUGACAUAAAUAAAUGGCUGUGAAACUGGUAGCUUAAAACCAUGCCCACCAAUUGUUUGAUAAAAGUUCUAAAAGAACUGUUUUGGUAAAAAGAACUGAGUAUUAGAACAAGUAAGGCAUUGACUUGAUUUACCUGACAUAUGUGAUGAUUGAAGUGAUUUGGUAUGGUAAACUUUAGCAUGGUGCAGUUUUUACUAACUUUAGUAGUAAAAAGUACUAGCUUGACAAAUCCUUUGGCCACUGUGUUAAACAGUUGCUGAGCCAAGGAAUUAAAAACUUAAUAUCCCUUUGAUAGGCCACUGGGAUAACCUUAAAACUCUAGAGGAUAAGUAACUAGAGACCUGUGAAUGAAAAUCUAGAAAAGGGAUGUCCAUCAUAGGUUGAGGAUCAGGGAUGCUGCUAAUGACAGUAGCAAAUAGCUUUGGGUAGCUGCUAGUACAGACUUGGGAAAAACAGUUGGUUGCAUCCCUGUAGAAGGACAAAAUUCUGUAGAGAUCUUAAGGUUCUCAAAUAGGAUCAAGGAUUGCUACAAAAGGGUAGCAGUGAGUAGUAGAUAUAGCAGUUAGUACCAACCUUAAUCGAGUAGCUGUUGUACUUGGCAACAUCAAGUAAGUAACUGCAGUGCCAUUUUGGCAACUGAGUGACCUUACUGGCUUUAAUUUUUGUUGUGCUGUUAAUAGGUUAAAAAGUGUAGCCAAGUUGGAGACAUAUUGCUGCCCAAGGACAGUAACUAUCACCCAUACCAGUAGGCCAUUAAGCACCUCCUAUAAAGGGUCUUAGAUUGUCCAAUAGGGUGAAGUUAUAUGAAUGAUAUAUGUUAUGUCAACUGAUAGCUAACUUGAGAGUGAAAAUAUGAUAAAAAGGGAAUCAUGGGACUGCUAACAGUCAUCAAUAGAAGUGGCCUCAACUAAUUGCUAUUGCAGUGUUCAGCUUGCCAAACUCAGUUGAAGCUGAGAAUAAUUAAAUUCCUUAUUGUCCAACCUUAAUGACUGUUAGCCUCAUGAAAUAUUAUAAAUUCAGGGUAAAGCUUAGAGGAACAUGGAUUGGUAAAGAAGAUAGAGCUUCUGCCUUUAAGCAAUAGCAGUUCAUAACUGCUAUGAUAGUUUAGAUAGUCGAUUGGUAUUGAAAAUAAAAUUUGAAGAAAUAUGACAUAUAAUGUAAUUUUAAUUACCAAAGUAACCUUGUACACAAAGCCUGACUAAGCCCCAAAUGGCUAACCAAAGCUUGAUUGCCACAAUAGGUCAAGUUGGGACUGUUUUGGCAUAGAGAGGAAAAUUAAGAAUGUUACACUUUUGUAUACGAGAAUAAAGCUAUAAGGUGUUAUAAGAACUAUAAAUUACUCAAUCGAGUUGUGAAUAUUUUCAAAGGCAUAAAAUAAGUUACAAAAGCACCUUGUAUGCUAGAAUUUCUGUAAACAAGGCAUGAAACACUCAUGUGUUAAAAUCCUAAUAGGAUGUAAACUAUAUAUAUGUUGUGUGUGCAUGUUAUUAUCAUACUAGACCCCAUUAAAGAGAAAAAUGGUUAUGAUACGAACAUGGAUGAGAUAUUUGAAAAAUGUAUCAAAUAUAGGAAUCUAACUACAACCAUGAUCACUGAAACUAUGUGAUAUGUGAGCUUACAAACUAUAUAACUUGGCUAUUUGGCUAACAUGCUUGUUAAUGUAAAUAACUGUGUAGGAUUUGUGAGAACACUACAAUUAAGCUGAAUUCUUAACAAUAGACUACAAACAAGGCAAGUUUCUAAUUCUUACUCUUUAUUGAGCAAGUAUUCUACAAUGGACAGGUUUUUUAAUUUCUGAACUGUCUCUCAUUAUUUAUGAAUAAUAUAAGGCUAAAUAACCUUUUUAUUCCAAUCAGCUUCAAAAGAAUAGUAUAUUGAACUUCUCUCUUACAUAAGUUUAUAUUGAAAGUAUGUCAAUGCCAUUAUUUCGGUUAGACAACUGUUGAGAUACAUUGAUAUUAUUCAUGAAAAUAUCAUUUAAUGUUCUCCAAACCAUUUUGUUGUGGUGCGGACUCUUGUAUAAUGAUGUGAACGAACAACCCUUUUAUAGGGGCAUAUUGUACUGGACAUAUGAUUCUGAAGGACAUGUGAAGUGUCAUUAGACUGUUAUGUUGUGCACAAUGUAGGGUACUUAGGCUGAUCCCCUAAAGUACGAGUCUAGGAUAUAGAACAGCUUUUAUAACUGUUUGUAUCCAUGGAUUGCAUUAUUAUUACUAUCAAAUCUAGUACAGAGUUCACUAGUCAUUUGACCUUACAACAUGCUAAAGCCUGAUUUUCAGACUCAACACUCGUAAAGAAUUAUCAUGUUCGAUAUCUAUUAAAUUGUAUCCUCAUUGUUAUAAUAUUUAUGUUCCAUUAUAUUUAACUGCUUAUUUCCUUGCUGAGCAAGCUGUUGCUCACCCUUACGUUAAAUAUAAUAUUUUCAGUUAAAACUAAGGUUGUUGGACCAUCUGGGAAAGACAAAGGAAAAGGCAAAGUUGUUGAAUAGUCCUUUAUUAAGCGCAUGUGUUUAUUUGAACUUAAGUAGUGAAUAUAAUAAAUACUGUUAGCACUAUGUUGUGUAAUGAUAUUUGGAUUGUAAGUAUGUAAAGGUCUAUAGAACCUGGGAUUUAAGUUCAAUGCUUAUGUAAUAUAAGACGAUUUUCUUUUAGUAUGAAUGGGUAUAUUAGUAUCGUGAGCACCAAACCCGAGUUAAAGAUAACCCGGAUUUGGGGGCGUCACAUUGACAAAGUCAAAGACUAUACAUGUUAUACUGCUUAGGAAAGAAAAUUGAAGUUCAAAUCAAGAACUAUGCAUACAAAUGAAACAAUAAUUACUCCAACACAUCAAUACAAAUUAAGGUUCAACAAUGGGGUUAUUCUGCUUUAUUUU
rnacentral:lncRNA from 1 species